GAUGAACGCUGGCGGCGUGCCUAAUACAUGCAAGUCGAGCGAACAGACGAGGAGCUUGCUCCUCUGACGUUAGCGGCGGACGGGUGAGUAACACGUGGAUAACCUACCUAUAAGACUGGGAUAACUUCGGGAAACCGGAGCUAAUACCGGAUAAUAUAUUGAACCGCAUGGUUCAAUAGUGAAAGACGGUUUUGCUGUCACUUAUAGAUGGAUCCGCGCCGCAUUAGCUAGUUGGUAAGGUAACGGCUUACCAAGGCAACGAUGCGUAGCCGACCUGAGAGGGUGAUCGGCCACACUGGAACUGAGACACGGUCCAGACUCCUACGGGGGGCAGCAGUAGGGAAUCUUCCGCAAUGGGCGAAAGCCUGACGGAGCAACGCCGCGUGAGUGAUGAAGGUCUUCGGAUCGUAAAACUCUGUUAUGAGGGAAGAACAAAUGUGUAAGUAACUAUGCACGUCUUGACGGUACCUAAUCAGAAAGCCACGGCUAACUACGUG
rnacentral:rRNA from 1 species